GACGAACCGAGCGAACGUUGUUCGGAAUCACUGGGCUUAAAGGGCGCGUAGGCGGGUGCUCAAGUCUGUGGUGAAAUCCUCCAGCUUAACUGGAGAACUGCCAUGGAUACUGGGUGUCUCGAGGAACGUAGGGGUAUGCGGAACGAUUGGUGGAGCGGUGAAAUGCGUUGAUAUCAAUCGGAACUCCGGUGGCGAAGGCGGCAUACUGGACGUUUUUCUGACGCUGAGGCGCGAAAGCCAGGGGGAGCAAACGGG
rnacentral:rRNA from 1 species